rnacentral:rRNA from 1 species
ACCGAAUAGAUACCCAGGUAGUCCACGCCCUAAACGAUGCGAACUGGAUGUUGGGUACAUUACGGUACUCAGUGUCGAAAGCUAAACGCGUUAAGUUCGCCGCCUGGGGAGUAUGGUCGCAAGACUGAAACUCAAAGGAAUUGACGGGGGCCCGCACAAGCGGUGGAGUAUGUGGUUUAAAUUCGAUGCAACGCGAAGAACCUUACCUGGCCUUGACAUCUGUCGAAUCCUGCAGAGAUGCGGGAGUGCCGCAAGGAACGACAAGACAGGUGCUGCAUGGCUGUCGUCAGCUCGUGUCGUGAGAUGUUGGG